UGCCGGAUUAAAGCUGCCCUGUAGAUAAAAAUCAUCAGCAAUAUUCGGGUAUUCUGUAUUCCGUUUGCGGUUGUUGAUAAGAGUAACAUCACGGCAUAACAUCAGAAUAAAGCAGGCAGACAGGGCCAUGGGACUCGGCGGCCUCAUAGACGGGGUGGAUUGAGAUCGUGCAAUCAUGCAUAACGCACAAACUCUUCGGACGACAUACCCACAUCUGCUAUAUAUGCUGCUGAUAUUUCAGUUUUAUGAUGUGGUCUCUGCUUUUGAACCGGAUUUUCUGUACCCUCUGGAGAAUUUGACAGUAGCACAGGGCCGAGACGCUACCUUUACAUGUGUUGUCAACAAUCUGGGGGGAUAUAGGGUGAGUGGGGAUCUCACCACGGC